rnacentral:rRNA from 1 species
ACCGUAUAGGGGAGCCGGAGGGAAACCGAGUCUUAAUUGGGCGUUAAGUUGCAGGGUAUAGACCCGAAACCCGGUGAUCUAGCCAUGGGCAGGUUGAAGGUUGGGUAACACUAACUGGAGGACCGAACCGACUAAUGUUGAAAAAUUAGCGGAUGACCUGUGGCUGGGGGUGAAAGGCCAAUCAAACCGGGAGAUAGCUGGUUCUCCCCGAAAGCUAUUUAGGUAGCGCCUCGUGAAUUCAUCUCCGGGGGUAGAGCACUGUUUCGGCUAGGGGGCCAUCCCGGCUUACCAACCCGAUGCAAACUGCGAAUACCGGAGAAUGUUAUCACGGGAGACACACGGCGGGUGCUAACGUCCGUCGUGAAGAGGGAAACAACCCAGACCGCCAGCUAAGGUCCCAAAGUCAUGGUUAAGUGGGAAACGAUGUGGGAAGGCCCAGACAGCCAGGAUGUUGGCUUAGAAGCAGCCAUCAUUUAAAGAAAGCGUAAUAGCUCACUGGUCGAGUCGGCCUGCGCGGAAGAUGUAACGGGGCUAAACCAUGCACCGAAGCUGCGGCAGCGACGCUUAUGCGUUGUUGGGUAGGGGAGCGUUCUGUAAGCCUGUGAAGGUGUGUCGUGAGGCAUGCUGGAGGUAUCAGAAGUGCGAAUGCUGACAUAAGUAACGAUAAAGCGGGUGAAAAGCCCGCUCGCCGGAAGACCAAGGGUUCCUGUCCAACGUUAAUCGGGGCAGGGUGAGUCGACCCCUAAGGCGAGGCCGAAAGGCGUAGUCGAUGGGAAACAGGUUAAUAUUCCUGUACUUGGUGUUACUGCGAAGGGGGGACGGAGAAGGC